CGGAGGGUGCAAGCGUUAUCCGGAUUUACUGGGUUUAAAGGGUGCGUAGGUGGGUCUGUAAGUCAGUGGUGAAAUCUCCGGGCUUAACCCGGAAACUGCCAUUGAUACUAUAGAUCUUGAAUAUCCUGGAGGUGAGCGGAAUAUGUCAUGUAGCGGUGAAAUGCUUAGAUAUGACAUAGAACACCAAUUGCGAAGGCAGCUCACUACGGGAUCAUUGACACUGAGGCACGAAAGCGUGGGGAUCAAACAGG
rnacentral:rRNA from 1 species